rnacentral:lncRNA from 1 species
ACUUGCUGCAGAAAUUAUUGCUUUCUAUGCUACUACUCAUCUCCAUUUUUUUGCAAUUCUUUUUACACG